GAUGAAGAACGCAGCGAAAUGCGAUACGUAAUGUGAAUUGCAAAUUCAGUGAAUCAUCGAGUCUUUGAACGCACAUUGCGCCCACUGGUAUUCCGGGGGGCAUGCCUGUCCGAGCGUCAUUGCUGCCCUCAAGCACGGCUUGUGUGUUGGGCCCCGUCCUCCGAUCCCGGGGGACGGGCCCGAAAGGCAGCGGCGGCACCGCGUCCGGUCCUCGAGCGUAUGGGGCUUUGUCACCCGCUCUGUAGGCCCGGCCGGCGCUUGCCGAUCAACCCAAAUUUUUUAUCCAGGUUGACCUCGGAUCAGGUAGGGAUACCCGCUGAACUUAAGCAUAUCAAUAAGCGGAGGA
rnacentral:misc_RNA from 1 species